AAAAGUUUUAUCUGCGUAGGUGCUCCGGUGCUGUGUAAGUUGAAGUGUUACAACAUUUGAAUAAAUGUAGGCGAGGCAUUGAUAGCGAUCGCAUUUUAUUAGACAGCUGCACGAAGCACGGUAGGUUGCUCUAUUGUGCAUCUAUAUUACAGUAAACAUUUGCCAAGCAACAAAUGACCGCGCAUGGUGUCAAGCGCACAGACAAAGCGAACAGAUGUUAUUAUAACAUCGCGAGCACCCACUGUCACAACGCUGGCAGGAUGAAGAGUGCUGCAAGCAUGGAGAGAACUCUUCGUGCUCUCUCUCGCUUCGCCACGUCUCUGAAGCUUGGAUGACCUGCAACACUAGGCCCACAGCAACAAUAAGCGCGAGUAGCCACCAGACAUUUCGAUUGGGCCUAAAUCUUUGCACUCGCUACAGACGGGGUCAAGGAGGUCACGUUCUAGUGACGACGAAGAACGACGCAGUGUCAAAACCGGCUCCACUGGCGAUCGCGGCUCGCCGGGCCUGGUCGAGGGUCGCCAGCGAGAGAAGUGACACUCAAGCACUACCGUAGCAGCGAACCCAGUCGGCGGUCGUCGAAAAUCCCAUCUGCGGGUGUAGGUGGCGACGGGAUGGCUCCAUCGGAAGCCAUGGCUGCGGAGACGACAGUGCGGCCACUGCGGAGCUCCGUGGCGAGGACGGGGAACCGUCCACCUCCACCGCAAUGUUACGCGAAGGAUGAGUCACUGCGGAUCUACGAGGUAAGACUGAGCAAGACCUUCACCGGCAAGUGACUCUGGGCUUCACACUUGAAUGGAAACAUAUCACAGUACAAGACAUACUAAAAAGCACGUCAAUAUCAGGUGAUUGAAGGGAAGAAAAAUUCUGGGCAUACCAUUGCGCUGGAUAAGCAUAUGUUCUGGGUAAAUUGCAUUGAACUGUCCCUCGAGGACCAUAGAAAACCUGUAAACAAGAUAAAUAUGUUUCUUAUAUUCUGUUUCUUUCGGAGAUAUACAAUCUGUGUGCUUGUCUUACUUUUUCUUCUGGGCGCCGUAGUAAAACAGUCUUGUGAAGAAAA